rnacentral:rRNA from 1 species
AAAAUAGUGGUGUAAUGCUCUAUGGUUGGAAAUUUUUUAUUUGGCUUCGGCGAUAAGCGAUUUAUUCGCAUAAAAUUAACUUAGGAUACAGAUAAUGACUAUUUCCUAUAGUAGAGUCUUGACUAAAACACGUGCCAGCAGUCGCGGCAACACGGGACAGACCAGUGUUAUUCAUCUUUAAUAGGUUUAAAGGGUACCUAGACGGUAAAAUAAACCCCCAAAAUAAGGAGGCGUACAUAUUUGCUAGAGUUUUAUGAGAGAGGAAUUUAGUACUAACAGAGUAGAGAUGAAAUUCUUUGAUACUGUAGGGCACUGAUAAUGGCGAAGGCAGACCUCCAUGUAAAAACUGACGUUGAGGGACGAAGGCUUGGGUAACAAACAGGAUUAGGUACCCUAAUAGUCCAAGCAGAGAAUGAUGAGUGCCAUAGAUUAGAAGAGAUUUGAUCUAUUAAUGAAAGUGUAAGCACUCCACCUUAAGAGUAAUGCGGCAACGCAGGAACUGAAAUCAUUAGACCGUUUUUGAUACCAGUAGUGAAGUAUGUUGUUCAAUUCGAUGACCCGCGAAAAAAUCUUACCACAAUUUGUAUAUUAUAGCACUAGACUAGGCUACAGUGCUAUAUUACAGGUGUUGCAUGGCUGUCUUCAGUUGAUGUCGUGAGGCGCAGGUUAGAUCCACUAAUCAACGUGUAACCCUUAUUUUAUUUUGUAUAAAUAGAAUAGUUUCCCUGGGACAUCGGAAUGAUAAUUGG